GCCGGGGUGGCGGAACAGGCAGACGCAGCGGACUUAAAAUCCGCCGGAGAGAUCCUUGUGGGUUCGAGUCCCACCCCCGGCA
rnacentral:tRNA from 1 species